AAAUUAUUACUCUUAUCUGUUUAAAUCUGCUUAUAAACAGAGAUUCAGUACUUGUACCAUGGUGUAUUUAGCGUUUAUCAGUUUUCUGCUUUGGUGUAAGUACUGACAAUUAACUUGCAUGUAAAGAUAAAUUAACUGUUUAUAAAACUUAAAUUGUUCGAAAUAUUAAAUGUGUUUCCCGCAAGAAAAUCCUUUCUGUUGCUAUAUUUGGUUAACCUUUGGAAACAUUUGGUUCUUCAAUGCUUCUCAUCUUUCUACUUGAUUUGGUGUUUUGAUUUGUUGAUUCGAGCAUCAGUGAUGCGUUUGUUUGUUUGUUUGUUAGCCUGGUUUCUUUGAUAAUUUUCAAUUUGCAUUCAUCAUAUCACUUAUUUUGUAACGUUAUAUUAUAUGAUGCUUUAUUUUUAGGAAAUAUUUUGUUUGUCAAAAUGCAUUAGUUUACUGUGAUAUAUUUUGAGUUGGUUGUUCGUGGUUUCAUGUGGUCUGUUGCGGUAUCCAAGAUUGUUGGUGAUACAUAUUGUCCUUUUUUAUAAGUAUUUUUAUGCCCCAUCUACGAUAGUAGAGGGGUAUUAUGUUUUCUGGUCUGUGCGUCCGUUCGUCCGUAUGUCCGUCCGUCUGUUCGUUCGUCUGUUCGUGCGUCCGUUCGUUCGUCGGUCUGUCCCGCUUCAGGUUAAAGUUUUUGGUCAAGGUAGUUUUUGAUGAAGUUGAAGUCCAAUCAACUUGAAACUUAGUAUACAUGUGCUCUAUGAUAUGAUCUUUCUAAUUAAAAUGCCAUAUUAGAGUUUUGACCCUAAUUUCACGGUCCACUAAACAUAGAAAAUGAUAGUGCAAGUGGGGCAUCCGUGUACUGUGGACACAUUCUUGUUUUUUUCUUUUUUCGCCACUGUAUGCUCAAAUGCUACAGGCUACCAAUAAUGAAAAUCAAGUGUAAUUAAUCAACAAAAUAAACUAACAUACAAUAGAGUUUAACAUUCUUUAACCACACAAUCAUUAUUUAAAAUAUUUUAUAAAGCACAAUGCCAUCAGUAGAUUAUUUUUUUUUCAUCUUCAAAAUAUUGAUAAAAAGUGUACUUAUGGCUCUAGUUCAAUGGGACAUAUCGCUUGUUGUAAUCGCAUUUGCUAAAAAAACAGAGCAGCUGGAUGUAAUGCAAUAGUUCAUAAUGGUAAUUUGAUAGCCAAUAAAAACAACCUCCCCAACUCAUUCUAAAUCCCAAUAUAUUGUUUUACAUAUAAAUAAAUAUUCCUAUACGACUUCUGCUAUGUGGUUGUGAUGGAAGUAAAAUUUUCGUCAACUGAAACUAAAAAAUUAUAUGUUAAUUUAGAUUAUUAAGUUCAUAUAAAUAAACUAUUUUUGCAAAGUAAGUUUUACAAGAAUAUCAUCCAUGCUUUUGUUGAGUAUGUUUACAGAAAGGAAAUAGUAGUGGUUACUGUAUGAUUUAUAGGUUAUUGGUCAUACACAUAGUACUUUGUUUUAUUUUGAUUAAGACACAAUUUGACUGCUGUGCCCAAAUUUUUGACAUUUUUAGCUCACCUGGCCCAAAGGGCCAAGUGAGCUUUUCUCAUCACUUGGCGUCCGUCGUCCGUCGUCGUCCGUCGUCUGUCGUCCGUCGUCGUUAACUUUUACAAAAAUCUUCUCCUCUGAAACUACUGGGCCAAAUUUAACCAAACAUGUCCAAAAUCAUUAUUAGGGUAUCUAGUUUAAAAAUUGUGUCCGGUGACCCGGCCAACCAACCAUUAUGGCCGCCAUGGCUAAAAAUAGAACAUAAGGGUAAAAUGCAGUUUUUGGCUUAUAACCCAAAAACCAAAGCAUUUAGAGCAAAUCUUACAUGGGGGUAAAAUUGUUUAUCAGGUCAAUUUCUAUCUGCCCUGAUAUUUUCAGAUGAAUCGGACAACCCGUUGUUAGGUUGCUGCCCCUGAAUUGGUAAUUUUAAGGAAAUUUUGCUGUUUUUGGUUAUUAUCUUGAAUACUAUGAUAGAUAGGAGAUUAACUGUAACAGCAAAAAUGUUCAGCAAAGUAAGAUUUACAAAUAAGUCAAUAGGACCAAAAUGGCCAGUUGACCCCUUAAGGAGUUAUUGCCCUUUAUUGUCAAUUUUUAACCAUUUUUCGUAAAUCUUAGAUACCUUUUUACAAAAAUCUUCUCCUCUGAAACUACUGGGCCAAAUUAAACCAAACUUGGCCACAAUCAUCAUUGGGGUAUCUAGUUUAAAAAAUGUGUCCGGUGAUCCGGCCAACCAACCAAGAUGGCUGCCAUGGAUAAACAUAGAACAUAGGGGUAAAAUUAAGUUUUUGGCUUAUAACUUGGAAACCAAGGCAUUUAGAGCAAAUCGGACAGGGAGGUGAAAUUGGUUUUCAGGUCAAUAUCUAUCUGCUCUUAAAUAAUCUGAAUUGGACAACUGGUUGUUAGGCUGCUGCCCUUGAAUUGGUAAUUUUAAGGAAAUUUUGAUGUUUUUUGUUAUUAUCUUGAAUAUUAUUAUAGAUAGAGAUAAACUGUAACAGCAGUAAUUAACAGCAAAGUAAGACCUCAAAAUAAGUCAACAUGACCAAAAUAGUCAAUUGACCCCCUAAGGAGUUAUUACCCUUUAUUGUCAAUUUUUAACAAUUUUCAUAUAAUUUGUAAAUUUUUACUUAAAUUUUCCACUGAAACUACUUGGUCAAUCAUUAAAGAUAGAGAUAAUUGUAAGCAACUAGAAUUUUCAUUAAAGUAAGAUCUACAAACACAUCACCAUCACAAAAACACAAUUUUGUCAUGAAUCUAUCUGUGUCAUUUGUUGAAUAUUCACAUAGACCAAGGUGAGCGACACAGGCUCUUUAGAGCCUCUAGUUACCUAAUGUGUCUGCUUGUUUUGUUUACACAUCGUUGUACAUAUAACGGAAUUCAAUGCAAUUUUCAUACAAGUGAUAGGUAUAGCUAGCUAUAAAACUAGGUUUUAUCUACCAUUUUUUUAAUAUGAAAUGCAUGUACCAAGUCAGGAACAUGACAUUUUUUAUCCAUUCGUUUUGUUGAUAAAUGUAGAAGAGAUACAGAAACUAAGGUUCAAAUUCAAUUAGUCAAUUUUUCCCUAAUAAAGAUUUGGGCAUUCUUUUACCGUCCUCUUUUUUGUCUUUUAUCAGCUCAUAGAGUUCUUUUUAUAUUUAGUGUUUAUGAACUGGUACUUGCACAAGUCAAGCACAUGUUUCAUACUAGUAUAGAUUUGUCUAUUAUUUUAUUAGUUAUUACCCUAGUUUUCUCUGAAUGUGAGCGAGGAUGGUUCCAUCCUGGUAAUUCGUGUUAUUAUAUCAGUGACACAAAAAGAUCAUGGACUAGUGCAGCGGUAAAUAUAAUUGAGAAUGGCAAUGGGAAAUAUGUCAAAAAUACAACAACACGAACUGAAGGGCAGACAAUUAACAGUCCAAGGUCACAAAAUGGUCUUUAUUACAGUCAGAAAAUUACGCACCCGUAGGCGGGUUUUAGCUGUUCCCUUAAGAAAAAUGUGUUCUAGUUGAGUGAAAAUGGACAAAACUCCGAAACAUAUAAAUGAACAAGAAUUAAAACUCCUAAAAGCCUAACAAAGACCUUACGCUCCUGACUUGGGACAGGUGCAAAAUGCGCCGGGUUUUAACAUGUUUUGUGAGAUCUUAACCCUCUCCUAUACCUCUAGCGAAUAUAAAAUAAAGAAACACACAGCAAAACGCAGAAUAAAGUUCAGUUUAAAAGAACUCCGGGUCCGAUGUUAGAAUAGGAAUCAGAUGGAAAAAAAAAGAAGCAAAAUGACAAUAAUACAUAUUACAUCAAUAAAGGACUACAAGUUGUUAAAGACAAGCUGUCAGCUCCAGACCUCAAACUGGUUUCAAUAUUGAAAUAUAUGUAUAUAUUUCCGAUGCAAACACCUAAUGAGUGAAUCAAUAUUAAUACCCAAAAUGUGCCAUAUUUAAUGAGUCUAUGUUUUAGAAAUGAGCCAGCUAAAUAAAUAAGAAGAAAAUAAAUCAAUGAGAAAAAAGUAAAGUGUGGCUGCAUGAACAGUACAACAUCAGUUUGCUACAUUUUAGAAAUUCGUUAAACACAUAAUCAACCAUUCUCUUAUAAAGUAUUGUUUUGUCGCGCAAUGACUGAUUUGCAUCACACCGUAAUUCCAGGGCCGUAACUAGCCCCUUUUAAUACUGAGGCAAAAUAUAUUCGCCGAGCGUAGCGAGGCGAAAAAUUUUUGGCGAGGGGUCUGGGGGCCGCUUAAGGCCCCAGAAGCUCUGAGAAAAAUAACGCAAAAUUGUGCAUUCUGAGCGUUUCCCGGACUCUUUCUUACAUAGAAACGCAAAUCAUUUUUAGCUAUUUUUUUCGACAAUAUUCUGGUCUCAAAGCAAAAACAUAGAUUCAUUGUUAUUUAAGACUUUAAAGUUUUAGGGAAAUUCAAAACAUUAAAAGGCCGAUAUGUAGGAUAUAGCAAAAAUCGUAAUUCUCAUAAUCAUUAAUACCGGAUCUAUCUGUCUGUUAUUGUCUUGUAUUGUGUGUACUGACUUGAGAUUUUUUAUGACUAGAUUUAAAUAUAGUGACAGUCAUUAGUGCAGUAAUAUACGUUAAAUACUAGUACUGCUCAAGUCGACACUAGGGACCAUAUUGACCUUGUUUUACGGUAUUUAUGAUUCUUAAAAUCUUUCAUUAUUGAAGACCUUCCAGCAACUAUCAAGAUGAAGAACAGGAAUACAAAUUUUGACCAUUGAUCAUUUGUAUUUUUUUCUAUACAUUGACAUUGUGUGCGAUUAGCUCCCGUGCACGUGUACUUCAUAUUCCUUUAUUUUCUGUUAAAGGGUCUGAACGCGACUUAAUGCAAAUUUAACCCUUGAAUGUAAAAGGUCAUAAGGCAAUACAUUGAUUUUUUUUUUCAACAAAUGAUUUGAUACCGGGAAAUUGGUGGUCUUACUUUAAUUUAAACCAUGUCAGCUAUAUAGUUUUAUCCACAGGCGCUUGGGUAUAUGAUACAGUUAUUUUUUUUAAUUUUUUGUUGAUUAAGAUAUUCAAUUUUAUAUUUAUAAUACAUAUAUAUCACUUCUGUGCAUAUCUCACCUACAGAAAAUACCUAAUUUUACAAUCCAUACUUAGAAAAAUUUGGUAUGGUUUUAUUUACAAGAAAGGCAGUUUCGUAUUCUUUGAUAUCAAGUUCAAUUCUCCAUGCAGAAACAACCACAUUUUUCUGUGUCCAGUAGCAUCGUUUAUUCUUAAAAUAUUUUCUCGCAUAGUGCCUGGACAUCGGUGGACAUGCAACAUUACACAGUGUGAUACGUUUACAAAUGAAAAUCAACACUCGGACUAGUCAUUAAGUAGGACAAUAAAUGAACAAAAGACAUGGAAACCCGGGACACAGAAGUACAAACAAUAGACCAUCAACUCUGAAAACAAAAAGUAAAAUAGAAACAUGGAUUACGAAAAAUAUGCAGGGGCGACAUCAGAGAGUGAAGAGAACUUGCUUCUUGCAAGACACUUUCAGUAAAAACAAUUUGAUAUGAAGACAAUCAUAUGAAGACAAUCUUUUGUUUUAGCUUUUUUUUUUUUUUUUUGAAAUUUAAAACAUGAGGCAUUUGCCUCAUUUGCCUCAAUGUAGUUACGGCCCUGAAUUCGACAAAUAAACCUGUUUGAUAUCUAAUAAUACAACUUGAAUGGCCAUUGAUUUUUGUAAGUUUUUGUCAAAAACAUUAACCUAUUUGAUGUAAUAGCUGAUAUUUUGGGAGAAUAUACUCAACAAUAAAAGAAACACACACAGUCUGUCUUCAUUAAAUUAUUUGGAGUUUUUGAAAGAUUUUACCACGCUUAUCAACCAAAAAAUAGUGUGAUCGUUACCAUGGCAACCACUCAUAUUUUCCUAGUCAAAAUUAUUUUUUGAGCAGUUUUCAUUUAUUGCUUCUGCUAGGCAAAUUAUAGAUAAAAUCUGGAAUCCCCCAUGUAUCACAUGUAUAUGGCACUCUGCCUGGUUCUUAUAAAGAGCUGUACUUAAAACUUCCUUUACUUGCGUUUUUAAUAGUGUUGACAUUCGACAAAAUUUUGAGAAAAAGGAUGAGGGCUACAAGAAAAGAUUUUAACAGAAUCAUGUACAUCCCAUAUCAUUUUUUUCUUUUCAAAUUUCUUAGAUGUGUAUUUUUUCAAUCAUUUAUAACCAAAAAAAUGAAAUAAAAUGCAUUUUGUUCUUAAAACAAGUGUGGACACAUAUGAGUGUGGAUAGUAUGUUUGGAUGUUUGACAGUGUCUUAUGACAAAAGGAGUUCUAUGUUUUUCCUAUAUGGUGUUAUUAGUUGUGUUGCACGAUGACAAACAAUCUGAGCAUUAGGAGUGUUGUUUAUUUAUUAUUUAGUUUUUAUGUUCAAGACGGGCAUGGAAGAGACAUUAAUUGCAUUAGGGAGCUACCAUUUGAUUUUUAUGGGGGGGGGGGGGGGGGGGGGGGGGGCUAGGAUGAAAUUUGAAAAAAAAUAGGCAGGACAGGAGUUUUGAGUAGAAAAAAGGCAGGAUGAGACACUUGCAAAAAAAAAAAGUCAGGAUUUAGGUAAAUGAAAAAUAAAAAGGCAGGACAGAGAUUACAGCUUGCAUUUCAUCCUAGGGUAGCUUUAGUUACCAAAUGAUUAUGAUAGAAUAUGUUCCACAUCUUUGAUUUUGGAUACAUUUUGUAGCUAGGAGAGCAACACAUAAUACAUUUUUCUAGGUUCAUUUUUUCAUGUGUUUUUUUUUCUAAAUGGGAGAUGAUAUCUAGAUUUGAGAACAUGAUAUAAGGAGCCUGUAAUUCAGUGGUUGUCGUUUGUUUAUGUGUUACAUAUUCGUUUUCAUUUAUUUUUUGUACAUAAAUAAGGCUGUUAGUCUUCCCGUUUAAAUUGUUUUACAUUGUCAUUUCAGGGCCUUUUAUAGAUGAUUAUGCGGAAUUGGCUUUGCUCAUUGUUGAUGGCCUUCAGGUGACCUGUAGUUGUUAAUUUCUGUGUCAUUUUGGUCUCUUGUGGAGAAUUAUCUCAUUGGCAAUCAUACCACAUCUUUUUUUAUAUGUAUUUGCUUACUAUUUGUAUGGUUCUAUUUAUAUUACUUUGUGGAGGAUCGUCAGUAUCAUUAGUAAAAAAAAUUGUUAAAAGGUCGAAUUGUUCCUCAGAUUAGAAUACAUUUAUUGGUUUUUAGUAAUGACAAUGCCUGACAAGAUGCUAGGGGCUAGAUGAGCUAGGAAGUAAACUUCUGUGCUGAUUUUUAUCAAUUCUUUGAUAAUAUUUCCUCCAAAGCUGGUCGAAGCAAAAAAAAAUUGACAAAUAUGAAAAUGAUUUCACCAAAAGAACUUUUUUGAGCAUGCUUCAAAGACUCAAAACUGCUCCAAAAGUAAUCUAAUAGAAUUUCAAGCAUGUCAAGUGGAUAUUAUCAACAUCUACUUAAUUAGUCUUAAUAUGUCUAAAUAUCUAAAAAGUUAUAGUAUUCAAAAAAGGUAUUGCAAAAUUAUUCUCUUUUCAUUUUUGUUUGUUUAUAUAGAUACAAAUAUAAGUGAUACAUGUACCACAAAUACAGUAUUUGUUGUGGUAUGAAAGUGUAGUAAUUAACAUUUACUGUUACAAUGUUAAUUCACACAAAUUUAUUAGAAAUAAACAAUUGAAUGAAAAAUGUUGAACAUGUACAAUGAAACAUAGUUUUAGAAAUCAAUUAGGCCAGAUAGGCCUUAUAAUUUUUUUUAAACAUAAUCGAAUGACCAUUUACACUCAGGACCAAGUCAUCAGUAGGCAGUACAGAUGUAUUAAAACAACCUAGCAUCAUAUUGCUAGUAGCGGGAGUAGCAUUGUCGGGUAAAUUUGUUCUUUUUAUAAAAUUUGGUCAAAGGACAUAUAAUGUUUGGUUCAAAUCGAUAUAUGCUUUUUAUCUCCCUAUUACUUACAUUGAAGAAAGAGGUGAUACUACUUUGACAAAUCCUUGUACAUGAGAGUUGUCUGUCAAAUCUUUAUUUCACAAAGAAUGAAUUGCAUAACAAUGAACUGAGCUCAAAGCAAAGUACUUUAAUAAUACACUUAGACAAAGAGCUAAAUCCAGUGAUAUACUUUGUACUGCAGGUUCUUCAUGAACAUCCAUUGACCAAAACCAUAUCUCAAUAAAAUGCCAUACUACAUGGUUGGAUCAGAAGUCCUGAAAAAGACAUGUUUUUUUUUUAUCGUAUUUUAAGUAUGCACAGGUUAAAACUUUCUUGUGGUAUAAUCAUUCAGUAUCUAGCAACUAUCAAUUUGCUUCAUGCACAAAUUGAUAUAGGUUGAGCGCUCCUCUGUUGGAAAUAAGAACACACCUCCUGGCUCCACCUAAUUUAAGUCAACUGAUGAAGAAACAUUCAAAACUAUAAAAUGUUAUCCAAGACUUUUCAGUGUCUAUUUACCAUUGCCACUGAAACAGUGAUAUAUUUGUACACAUAUAUACAUGUAAGACUAAAAUUUUAAAGUACUACAACUACAUAUAUAAGACCAAAACUGAUAUUCGGUCUUUACUACAUCUUCAUUCCCCAAGUCAUUUUCAAAUUUUCCAAAUUUAGCUAUAUUUUAAGCUAACUACUCCUCACACACAUGUAUAGAUUAUCAGUUUUUCUACACAUGAGUAUCGUAAGAUAUUUGCCAGUGAGCCGCAAUGAAUAUUUUUAGCGAGUGAGCCCAGCUAAUGAGCUAAAAUGAAUCAAAUUGUGUACUCAGUCAGAGUUGUUGAUAUUUUAAGGUAUCUUUACAAAGAAAACCUGCAAAUCUCAGUGGCAAUUCAGCACUUUUCAUAAAGGGGUGGCCUCUGACUUACCAAAGGAGGAUCUAGGGGGCAGACCCCUCCCCCCCUUUUCGUUGGAAAAAUUUUGUUGAUUAUAUAGGGAAUCACUGAAGCAUGACUGGAGCGGGCCCCACCUUAUGAAAAGUUCUGGAUCCGCCACUGCCACCCCCUGGGUCUGUCUAUGCAUCUGUUUAUGGUUCUGCGUAAUAGUACCAAUACUGGUUUUUUUUUCACCUUCCUUACUUGGCCCUAGACAGUUGCUUAUCUGGUUAAGGUUCUAUCACUAGCUUUUUUUUAGACUAGAGAUUUCAUGCGUACAAAUUAAACCGGACCUCAAACGCAUGUACUACAGACGAAAAGAGACAAAUAAUUUUAUAUAAUAACCUUGAGUUUACUUCGACUACUGAUAUGCAAACCAAAAAACAGACACAAAAAAUAUCAUAAAAUAGCGAUUGAAAGAUUGAUUGCACUUUGAAUGUAUAGUUCAGACUGAGACACGUGUUACAUGAGGAGCUGGUUUGUUUACAAAUAAUAAUGUCACGUGAUCACUCACUGACGUCACAAUUUGCAUCGAUCUUGCAGUACACUAGACAGUUCGCUCAAACAGUACCCAUUAUCAUGCAACGCAAAUGUGAUUGGUUAUCAAAUAAUACAGAAAUAAUGCAUGUACAGUUUUAGAAGAAAUUAGUUCAUCAAAUAGAUUAGAUUUUCACUUUUGACACGAAUAGGUCGGGUUGACAUUUCUGUCAUCGGGGAUAAUAUUGAGAUAAAUGGGAUUAAACUGACCGUCAAAGAUGUCUAGAGAAGCACAUCUGGAGAACUUUAACAUAAAUAAGCCAUACUUACCAAAAUUACUCUAUAUUAAUAAACCCUAUGUCAGUGAAAUUUCACAAUGAUUACGAUAAACAAUUUUGAUACUGACGAUGAUGCUGGUCACGGUUAAAUUGGCGCAAAAAAUAUUCUUACUCCUAUUGCUUUACGUAAUAAAGUUUGUAUAGAAUUGAAUUUGACUGAAGUUCAGCAUACAAAAAAACGUGGAUAUGCAGAAGCAUGACAAUAUAUUACUGAUAAAGUGUGUGUAUAUAUUUCUGUAAACGAAGUUGCCUGUAUACUUCACUUGAGCGAAAGGAUAUCUCUAUUUGUGAAUCGGUUUAUUAACCCUUUGAACCCAGGGUCGAAGUUCAAGAUGUUAACAUAUUAACGGAAAUUUUUUGGGUUGCUUUUACAUCAUUGAGGCCAUCUAUUUUCAUUGCGGGGUUUCACAUAUUUCAAAUGGAAUUAUAGAAAAAAUAGAAUGUUGUUAGCAGAAUCAAAACAGAAAAUGAUGAACACUUGAUUAUUUUUAGCAAUACAUAAAUUGGAUUGAGGGUCUGUGUAUUCACAUUAUUUGUAAAACUCUCCUUAAUUAUUCCUGUGAAGCGUGUGCUUUACAUCGAGGCUUGCUAUGCUUUACAUCGACGCCACAGUGCUUCAACCAAUCAAUCAGGGAAUGUUUAUUUGGGGCAUUCGACCUAUUCUAACUCAGAUUUUUGCACAUUUUAAUCCAAAUUAUAGAAAAAUGGAAUAUUGUUAGUACAUAUAAAAUAGAAAAUGAUGAAUACUUUUAGUUAAAGAUGAAUUGGAUGGGGGUUCUGUGUAUUCACAUUAUUUGUACAACUCUCCUUACUGAUGCCAUAUUUUGGAAUUUCCGUGACCUAAAUGGUUCGCGAAAAUUAAUAUUUUUAUAUAUAGUAUAGUAAUUAAACUUCAAAAAGUAAAUCGGUUCGAUUGAAGUAUUAUACGGCGGCUUCACUGUUGUGCCUUUAAAAUACACCUAUACUGCACGUACAAACUAUGCUAGAGGAAAAACGAUGAUUUUUCAGUGUUAUUUUCAACCCUUUUCAGAUGCAUAAAGCAUUAUAUUUAGGACUAUUUGGAAAUGCCCUUAAAUUGUAUGAAGAUCAAGAAUAACUGUAUUUACCAAUUUCAUUCACAAAUUAUUUCUAGAACGGGUUUGUUGUGACGCCUCCGGGUGUGGGAGCUUCUCGCUGCAUUGAAGACCCAUUGGUGGCCUUCAGCUGUUGUCUCCUCUAUGGUCGGGUUGUAAUGGGUCUUUCCCGCAUAAGCAAUUUCACACAGCAAAAUAUAAUGAACAUGUUUACUUUUAUAUAAAGUUUCUUUAAUAAGGAAGUUUAUUAGUAAAUUGAGUUGUUUUCGCAUCACUUAAGUAAUUACAUGUAACGAACUAACAUAGGUCCAAGUAAUGUGCAGUGGCUGAUCCAGGGGAGGGUUUUCAGUUGGAACCGCCCCUUUUUUGGGGUGAUGAUCAAUGCAUUUGAAUGGGCACAUGGUUGGACCCCCCCCUUUUCACAAAAUGGCUGGAUCCGCCCCUGAUGUGUUUCAGUUUAGAUUAGAGUAACUGAGACAGAUCCAACCAUUUUUUUAAAAGGGGGACCUCACCCAGGAUAAGCAGAGGCGGAUUUAGUAAUUUUUCAAAAAGGGGGACCUAAUGUAAAUUGAGUUUUUUCGCAUCACUUGAGCACUAAAUAACAUAGGUCCGAGUAGUGUGCAGUGGCGGAUCCAGCAGGAGGGUUCCCGGUUGGAAUCGCCCCUUUUGUGGGGGUGAUCAAUGCAUUUGAAUGGGGACAUGGUUGGACCCCCCUUUCAAAAUGGCUAGAUCUGCCACUGAUGUGUUUCGGUUCUGACUUGACUAGCUGAGACAGAUCCAGCCAUUUUUAAAAGGGGAUCCUACACCAGGAUAAGAGGUCAGUUCCAACUGAUAUCCCUAUCCAAAUGAAUUGAUCGUCAACAAAAAAGGGAGGUUCAACCUCCGGAAUCCCCCCUCCCCUAGAUCCGCCACUGACCAGAGACUUAAUGUGUACAAACCUGACGUAAAAUUAUGUACUAUUGAAUAAUAAAUAAUAUCACAUUACCUCCAAAAAUCAAUAACUGUUACAGUACAUUUCACAUGUUUCAAUAAUCCAAAAACGAUGUUUAUGUAAGAAGUUCCCGCGCAAAUGUCAUGUGUUACCGAAACGGGAAACACACAAAAGAAUUGUAGGUGCAUGUUGUCAUUCGCAUUCCGAUUAAUUUACACAGUUCAAUAAAAUAUACAUGUUAACAUUAUCUAUAUUGGUUUUGAAUUUAGUUACUAGAUCAGAAAAAUGAUUUGUUUCUCGCAGACAACACAAAAUAAUAUACAUAUUAACUCGACACUUAAUCUAAACAUCCCUACAACAAAAUGGGACGACCAAACAGAUUUCCUAAUUUUGAUAAAGGUGAAAUAUGUAGAAUAAGAAUUGUGCACUCUGGAAUAAGAUCAUAAAUAAAGCCCAUUAUAAAGUGUAAACACAAAAAAAAAUAUGUAUGAAAUCAUUGUUUAUUACAUCUGCUUGCAUAAUAAUAUUGAAGUUGAAACUAACAACGAUCACGUGUAUCCUGUCAACCCCUGAAAAACAUAAUAUUGUCUUAUAUUGUUAUAGUGUAUGUUAACACUAGUGCAUGAGUUUACUCAAGGUUUAUUUGGUACUUUUAGAGAAAAUAAAUGUUGCAUGAUCUGUUAACACGUAGUCUUUUUUCUUUUUCGUGGCACGAAAUUGUCUUAUUACAGCUAUUUGAAAAAUUAACGUUUAAAGUCCUAUUGCUAUCUCUUGUUUAAAUUUGAAAAAAAAAUCGAAAACAACACGUUUAAUAAUUCUCUGCGUCCGAAACGCUUUUCUGGAUUUAAAUUAGGUCAAUUUAAUACAUUCCUAUUUCAUUUUCCAGAGCUUUUGUAAAGCCUUCCACACCUAACUUGCUGAUGUACAAACAAGCGACGAAAAUACAUUUCUUAUUGAUACAAUUGCGAAGAUCGGAAGAUACUCUGGAACUGUUCGUAUGUAGUCUAAAAUCCAUAGAUAGAGAGUAAGGGAUUUUUUCAACAACUAACACAAGUUUUCAACAAUCAUACCAUGAAGAGCAAAUACAUAUGGUAAAGAGUUAAAGAUAGAUAGAUAUUUUUAUUUUAAAGUACAACUUGGUACAUAUACAUGACAUACAAUAUAUUACAAUAUACAUAAACAUAUACUAACAUAUAUACAUAAAAAAAACCUCUCAUUUAUCUUGUUGUUCUUUUAAAAUGAUGUUGAAAUAUAUUUUGGUGUAGAAGUGGCAAGAUUUGGUAGGUUCGUAUUUAAUUUAAUUUUUUUUUUUAUUUUCAAUAAAUGUAUGGCAAGAAGUGGUAACGUUUUUGGUAUGAGAUAUGAUAAUUCAAGGACUUUUCCCAUCGAACAGUAAACUCCUUGCUAAAGUCGAGAGUCCUAUGCAGCAUGUAUAACAACGCAGUACCGUCCAAUCGGAUCCGAUGCUUCGUGUGAGGAGAGUGACACACGAUUAUCUGAGGGAUCCGUGGUUAGUCUGUUUUGAUAUGAAAAGUUUGCCCUGUCAGAUAUACCCACGUUUUCAAGUUACAUGCAUGUUAACCGUCAAAUUUCAGUUUUAGUCAAUGCGUGAUACGUCAUUAAAGGGUAAACUAUUAUAUAUACUGGUAAAAGAAAGAAAAAAACCAAAUCAUUAUUCAUAUCAUAACAUUGAUAAGUAAAUGUUUAGAUAACUAUUGGAUAGACGGAACAGAUAAAAUUAUUGAGGGAUACUGGGUAUGGGCUUCCACAGAAAAACCAAUAUCCUACACUAACUGGGUCCAUAAUGAACCAA
rnacentral:lncRNA from 1 species